GUGUGUGUGUGUGUGUGUGUUCAUACCUCAUACAGACAGGCCUGGUGGAAGGGUUGUCCACAGCGAGGGUCGUUACACACCUGAUCAGGGAUCGCAGCUUCAAGACGGUGACGGGAAUUCGAUCUCCAAAACAUCCCGGAGGUUGUGCAAGACGCUGGAGUCCGGGUUCCUGCCAGCAGACCACAGACAGCUCCUUCACACACUAAUUAACCACAUGCAAAUGAGCCUGCAAAGACACUGGGGGAUGAUUAGGAGACUUUCACCAUUCGUAUAUAUAAAAAAAAAAAAAAUUAAAAAAAAAUAGUCUUUCUGCUGCUUCAGACUGAACGGGUGGAGGGAGACGGCGAGUCUCCUGCAGGGAGGAUGAUGUUAAAACCUGUGGUGAAAUUUUAAAUCUGUACUUUAUGUUAAAAUGAAGCGUAAUUGUGUGGGGUUUUCUUCCUGAGUGACAAUCAGACUCAUCAGAAACCACAGAAAGACCAAAACCAGCAACGAGCUGAUCCUGACCUUACUGCAUUAGACCUGAACAGCAAAGUAAAUGAUCAGAUUACCUUCACAGGCUGAUCAAUGAUUCACCUUUGUUUUUAUAGAAAUCUACCCUUUUCAGUUCCAAUCAGAUACCUUAAUUUGGAUAUCUGCCGGUAACAUUAUCAUUAUCAUCAUUAUCAUCAUCAUUACUAUUAUUAUUAUUAUCAUCAUUAUCAUCAUCAUCAUCAUCAUCAUUAUUAUUAUUAUUAUUAUUAUUAUUAUUAUUAUUAUUAUUAGCCACCACUGGAAACUAUGGAAGCCCAUUUCCGCCAAUGUGACAGAAAAAAGGAUUCUUCAUCAAAAUAUUGACUUUAUGUUCCUAAGUCUGAUUCUUAGAGCCUGGAGCACUUUUAUCUUUAUCAUGUUUGUAUCAUGUUGCCAAAGCCCAGGGGGUCACAUGGCCUUCUUGAUUUAAAGGGGAGUAAGAAUUAACUUAUUUCCAUAAAGAAAUUUUAAUUAAUUUGACAUUUAAAGUUUGGAUUGUUAUUUUAGAUAUAAAAUAGAAAUCUCACAGGAUAAUUAUUCCAUUAUGGAGUAAACUGAAUAAGUGAUUUUAUGGAUAUUUCAUAUUAUAUUGAAUGCGUAAGAAUAACAGUACAAUAUUUUUAAGGAACCUUUAAUAUAAUUCUGUCUGUUUUCUGUUUUUUAACAAUCAUACAGACUUAAUAUUCUUCUUUUCUGACAGAUUCAGUCUUUUCUUCUCAUUGUUCUUUGAUGCAGAUUGAGGCUGUUGAUCAGAGACUGAAGCUCUGUGAAUAUACUCUCUUCACAGUUUAGAUCCUAAUAAUCUAAACAUUUAUUUUUCAUUAGAGAAAUGAACACAAUGUUGAGAUUUCGGCCUACUGUGUAUAUUUUUAACGUUUUGUUACUCCCCUUAAAAUCAAGAAGGCCUUGCAACCCCCUGUGAAUCUUUGGCGACCCCUGGUGGGCGUCCUGACCAAAGAGCUAAUCGAACAACGAGAAGAAACACACUGAAAGUCUCCAGGAAAACUUAGAUUAUUUCCAGGAUUUUUGGAAAACUGGUCUCUACAUCUCCAGGUUGUCCAGGACUGUGGGAACCCCGCAGGGUCGUCAGUUUACUCACUGAUAGAAACUGCUCUGAGAUGGUUGUUGUUUUUACAUUUUUGUACGGAGGAAUGUCUUUUACCGUGAACCAAAUCUACCUGUGGGUACAAAUAAAAUGUUCUAACCUAUUAACUGGGAAAUAAUAAUACGGAUAUCAUCAUCAAUAAAUGCUUCUGUUGGCUCACCACCCAGUGAAAGCCUUUCUGAAGCAGAGAAUCUUACCACAGCUGCA